ensembl:snRNA U6 U6 spliceosomal RNA
GUACUCACUUUGGUAUCACAUAAUACUAAAGUUGAAAUGAUACAGAGAAGAUUAGCAUGGCCCUGGCGCAAGGAUGACACGCAAAUUCAUGAACUGUUCCAUAUUUUU